rnacentral:rRNA from 1 species
AGAGUUUGAUUCUGGCUCAGAACGAACGCUGGCGGCGUGGAUAAGACAUGCAAGUCGAACGAAGAAUAUUCGGUAGCAAUACUGGGUAUUUUUAGUGGCGAAAGGGUGCGUAACACGUGGGUAAUCUACCGUAAAGUUCGGAAUAACUUCGAGAAAUCAAAGCUAAUACCGAAUGUGAUCUGACAGGGACAUCCCUGUUCCAUUAAAGCUAGGGACCUUCGGGCCUGGCGCUUUACGAUGAGCCCGCGCCCUAUCAGCUUGUUGGUGAGGUAAAAGCUCACCAAGGCUAAGACGGGUAGCCGGUCUGAGAGGACGAUCGGCCACACUGGAACUGAGACACGGUCCAGACACCUACGGGUGGCAGCAGUCGAGAAUCAUUCACAAUGGGGGAAACCCUGAUGGUGCGACGCCGCGUGGGGGAUGAAGGUCUUCGGAUUGUAAACCCCUGUCAUUUGUGAACAAACCUUUUGGUUUAAUAGAUCAAAAGCUGAUAGUAGCAAAAGAGGAAGGGACGGCUAACUCCGUGCCAGCAGCCGCGGUAAUACGGAGGUCCCAAGCGUUGUUCGGAUUUACUGGGCGUAAAGGGUGCGUAGGUGGCCAGGAAAGUUUGAUGUGAAAGCUCCGAGCUCAACUCGGAAAAUGCAUUGAAUACUACUUGGCUUGAGGAUCGGAGGGGAGACUGGAAUUCUCGGUGUAGCAGUGAAAUGCGUAGAUAUCGAGAGGAACACCAGUGGCGAAGGCGAGUCUCUGGACGAUUCCUGACACUGAGGCACGAAAGCUAGGGGAGCAAACAGGAUUAGAUACCCUGGUAGUCCUAGCAGUAAACGGUGCGCGCUUGCUGUAGGCGGAUUCGACCCCGUCUGUGGCGUAGCAAACGCGUUAAGCGCGCCGCCUGGGGAGUACGGCCGCAAGGUUAAAACUCAAAGAAAUUGACGGGGGCCUGCACAAGCGGUGGAGUAUGUGGCUUAAUUCGAUGCAACGCGAAGAACCUUACCUGGCCUUGACAUGCAUCUCUAAGCGUGUGAAAGCACGUGACCCUUCGGGGAAUUUGCACAGGUGCUGCAUGGCUGUCGUCAGCUCGUGUCGUGAGAUGUUGGGUUAAGU